GUGGGGAAUAUUGGACAAUGGGCGAAAGCCUGAUCCAGCCAUGCCGCGUGUGUGAAGAAGGUCUUCGGAUUGUAAAGCACUUUAAGUUGGGAGGAAGGGUAGUAACCUAAUACGUUGCUACUUUGACGUUACCGACAGAAUAAGCACCGGCUAACUUCGUGCCAGCAGCCGCGGUAAUACGAAGGGUGCAAGCGUUAAUCGGAAUUACUGGGCGUAAAGCGCGCGUAGGUGGUUCAGUAAGUUGGAAGUGAAAUCCCCGGGCUCAACCUGGGAACUGCUUUCAAAACUGCUGAGCUAGAGUACGGUAGAGGGUAGUGGAAUUUCCUGUGUAGCGGUGAAAUGCGUAGAUAUAGGAAGGAACACCAGUGGCGAAGGCGACUACCUGGACUGAUACUGACACUGAGGUGCGAAAGCGUGGGGAGCAAACAGGAUUAGAAACCCGUGUAGUCC
rnacentral:rRNA from 1 species